UACGAAGGGGGGCUAGCGUUGCUCGGAAUCACUGGGCGUAAAGGGCGCGUAGGCGGCGUUUUUAAGUCGGGGGGUGAAAGCCUGUGGCUCAACCACAGAAUGGCCUUCGAUACUGGGACGCUUGAGUAUGGUAGAGGUUGGUGGAACUGCGAGUGUAGAGGUGAAAUUCGUAGAUAUUCGCAAGAACACCAGUGGCGAAGGCGGCUCACUGGCCCGGUACUGACGCUGAGGUGCGAAAGCGUGGGGAGCAAACAGGG
rnacentral:rRNA from 1 species